ensembl:lncRNA
GUCCUUCCCAGGGUGCUGGAGAGCCCUGGGGUGGGGGGCCUCGAGGCCCGGGAAGUCCCCAUGGUGGGCUCCGUGGUUGCUGGCUUUUUCACGGAGGUGGAUGUCCUCUUCUUAUGGUUUCUGUCAUGUCAGGAAACAUGUCAGCAGCUGAGUGUGGGGAUGAGGAAGAGGGGAGCUGAAGGCUUUGGGGCUGUCAAGUCUGAGUGUGAUCUUCAGUUGGCAGCUUGGCUGGUACAUUCCGACUCGAAGCCUUUGCGUUGUGCCAGGCAGGACUUUCCCACAAGCUCAGGGCCUGGGAGCCUGUGAGGCUGGGGCUCUGGGGUGCUGCGGUGGGGAGAGAAAAAGCAGCCCCCAGAGAAGGCUGGCGGGAAGAGGGAGAGCAAAGACUGAGCUGUGCCUGACUCUGGGGGGGUGUCAGAGCGGGGAACGGGCCUGCUUCUCUCCUGUAGCCUGCGUGCUGCCUGCCUCGCAUGCCCGGAGAGGCUCUAGGGUGGCAGGGCCCUGCCUCGGGACUGCAGCCGAGUCAUGUGAGGAGACCGGCGGUGUGCCAGGCUGGCUGCCUGCAGGACGGCACCUUGGCUGGGCAGGAUGAAGGCUCUCUACACUUCAGUAGGCACUCAGUAGGUACAUUCUCCUGGUUGAUGCCCUCAAUCUUUGUGAUCCAGUCAUGGAUGCUGUCCAUGAGGGGGCAGGGCCUGCUUCCAGCUUGCCUGUACUGCUUGAGUGUAGGCCUGGUGUUUCCAGUGGAAUCCAUGCUCCGUCUCUGUGUGAAGCCAUCGAAACUGAUGUGAGGAUCUGUCUUUUGAUUUUAUAGGCUUUGUUUUGUUUCACAGUGCGGACAUUAAAAUAAUCUAGCAGGAUGGGAUUUGUUAAUUUCCCUUUUGGUUUUUGGGUUUUGUGUCAGGCUAGAAAGGCCCACCCCUUACUGGGGGUCACGUGGAUGGUCCACGCCUCCUGCGGUUGUCCCUCAGCACGGCUGUGUCUGUGGUGUGUGCUGGCCCCCGUGCCUCCUGCAGACCCCUCCCCAGCCCUGCGAAGCUCCCCCAUCUGUGCCUCCACAGACCCCUCCCUUCCAGACCCUCUUUGAGGGGCGUCUGUGGCCCUGCU